rnacentral:rRNA from 1 species
GCACGUAGUUAGCCGGYGCUUAUUCUUACGGUACCGUCAUUAGCCCUCUUUAUUAGAAAAGGCCGUUUCGUUCCGUACAAAAGCAGUUUACAACCCGAAGGCCUUCAUCCUGCACGCGGCAUGGCUGGAUCAGGCUUGCGCCCAUUGCCCAAAAUUCCCCA